UAAGCUUCUUUUUGCUUAUCUCAAAGAUCACUAUGGUGUACUUGGUUGUAGGGCUUUGUUAGGGUACCAAAAUUGGGGCUUUUGCUAUAGAUGAGUUUAAAUGUAAAUUGACCUUAUAGAAACCUAAUUGAAGGUAUUUCCGACACGUUGGGAGAUUCGGUUCGAAGAUCCGACGAGUAUACGCGAAGAUAUUGAAGAAAAAGCCUAUUUUGGUUUCGUUUUCCACACUC
rnacentral:lncRNA from 1 species